rnacentral:rRNA from 1 species
GACGAAGGUGGCAAGCGUUGUUCGGAUUCACUGGGCAUAAAGGGCGCGUAGGCGGUUCCGAAAGUGGCAUGUGAAAUCCCCCGGCUCAACCGGGGAAGUGCGUGCCAAACUUCGGUGCUAGAGGGCGGUAGGGGGGACUGGAACUCUCGGUGGAGCGGUGAAAUGCGUAGAUAUCGUAAGGAAGACCAGUGGCGAAGGCGGGUCUCUGGACAGUUCCUGACGCUGAGGCACGAAGGCCAGGGGGAGCAAACGGGG